UUUUAGUCAUAAGCUUGUUUCAAAGAUUAAGCCAUGCAUGGGUAAGUUUAAGGGAUUGUACUGGGGGACUGCGAACGGCUCAUUAUAUCAGUAAUAAUUUCUUCGGUAGUUUCUUUUAUAAGGAUACCUGCAGUAAUUCUGGAAAUAAUACAUGCUGUAAGAGCCCUGUAUGGGGCUGCACUUAUUAGAUUGAAGCCGAUUUUAUUGGUGAAUCAUGAUAAUUGAGCAGAUUGACUUUUUUAGCCGAUAAAUCGUUUGAGUUUCGGCCCCAUCAGUUGUCAACGGUAGGGUAUUGGACUACGGGGACUAUAACGGGGGACGGAAAGUUAGGGCUCGACUCCGGAAAGGGAGCCUGAAAAACGGCUACCAUAUCCAAGGAAAGCACCAGGCCCGUAAAUUACCCACUGGGGACCCCACAAGGUAGGGACAAAAAAUAUCAAUGCCAACCGGGGAUGCGUUUUGCUAUCGAAAUGAAAGCAAAGUAAAACCCUCAUCGAGGAUCAACUGGAGGGCAAGUCUGGGGCCAGCACCCCCGGUAAUUCCAGCUCCAAAACCAUAUGCUAAAGUUUUUGCCGUUAAAAAGCUCGAAAUUGAAUUUUUGGCAUGGGCAACCGGGGCUUUCCCUGAAUGGGGAUUGAUUGCCUGGGUUGCCUUGGCCAUCUUUUUCUUGUCUUUUUUGGGGAAAAAUCUUUCCCUGAAAUCAAAGCAAAGGGUUCCAGGCGGGGCCAAAAACCGGAUUGUUUUUUAUGGGAUGAAAAAAAAGGACUUGGGGGCUAUUUUGUUGGUUUGACCCCCGGAAAAAGGGUUAAAAGAAACAGUUGGGGGGUUUCUUUUUUAGGAACCAAAGGGGGAAAUUUUUGGGUUUUCCAAAAAAAAAAAUAAAACGAAGGGUUUUUCCCAGCUGUU
rnacentral:rRNA from 1 species